UACAGAUCUCUCCUGGUCUAAGAUCCUGGAUUUAUGAUGGGAAUCUCAGAUUACACAUUUCAAAAGGACUGUUGGGAGAGACACUCAGGCAAAACAUUGC